rfam:TPA: Bos taurus chromosome 4, whole genome shotgun sequence.
CCUGGUGGCUCAGAUGGUAAAGCAUCUGCCUACAAUGCAGGAGACCUGGGUUCGAUCCCUGGGUCAGGA